AUUGAACGCUGGCGGCGUGCUUAACACAUGCAAGUCGAUCGGUAACAGGUGUAGCAAUACAUGCUGACGAGAGGCGGACGGGUGAGGAACGCUUGGGAAUCUGCCCAUCAGCGGGGGACAACCCGGGGAAACCCGGGCUAAUACCGCAUACGCUCUAUGGAGGAAAGCCGGGGACCGCAAGGCCUGGCACUGAUGGAUGAGCCCAAGUCGGAUUAGCUAGUUGGCGGGGUAACGGCCCACCAAGGCGACGAUCCGUAGCUGGUCUGAGAGGACGAUCAGCCACACUGGAACUGAGACACGGUCCAGACUCCUACGGGAGGCAGCAGUGGGGAAUAUUGGACAAUGGGGGAAACCCUGAUCCAGCGACGCCGCGUGGGUGAAGAAGGCCUGCGGGUUGUAAAGCCCUUUCGGUAGGGACGAAAGCUCUCGACCUAACACGUCGGGAGGUUGACUUAACCUACAUAAGAAGCACCGGCUAACUCUGUGCCAGCCGCCGCGGUAAGAC
rnacentral:rRNA from 1 species